UUGAUCAGACAAUGACCAAACACUAGUUCCUUUUGACAAUGAUUUCAACUUGUACUGUUUACAUUUAUAAUAUGUCAAUUUAAGCAUGCUCUCUCGUAAUCUGAUAUAUUUGAUUUGGGCAUUUCUGUUUUGAAAUUAAUUAUUUCUGCGGAAACAGUUAAAGAUACCGUACUGUCAAGCAUAUUGGUAUUUUGACCUUGACAUCUGAUAACUAUGUAAGAAAAGUGCUAUUAAUAGAUUUUUUAACGAAUGAUGUUGAUGGAAAAGAAAGCAUGUACAUGUAUUCCAAUUACAUUUAUGAAGCCUCCUCCAUGAUAUAUCUUGGACAAUAAAAGAUUGUAAUUCU
rnacentral:misc_RNA from 1 species